rnacentral:rRNA from 1 species
AUACGGAGGAUCCGAGCGUUAUCCGGAUUUAUUGGGUUUAAAGGGAGCGUAGGUGGACAGUUAAGUCAGUUGUGAAAGUUUGCGGCUCAACCGUAAAAUUGCAGUUGAUACUGGCUGUCUUGAGUACAGUAGAGGUGGGCGGAAUUCGUGGGGUAGCGGUGAAAUGCUUAGAUAUAACGAAGAACUCCGAGUGCGAAGGCAGCUCACUGGACUGCAACUGACACUGAUGCUCGAAAGUGUGGGUAUCAAACAGGAUUAGAUACCCUGGUAGUCCACACAGUAAACGAUGAAUACUCGCUGUUUGCGAUAUAAAGUAAGCGGCCAAGCGAAAGCAUUAAGUAUUCCACCUGGGGAGUACGCCGGCAACGGUGAAACUCAAAUGAAUUGACGGGG